UCAGGAUGAACGCUGGCGGCGUGCCUAAUACAUGCAAGUCGAGCGAACUGACGAGGAGCUUGCUCCUUUGACGUUAGCGGCGGACGGGUGAGUAACACGUGGGUAACCUACCUAUAAGACUGGAAUAACUCCGGGAAACCGGGGCUAAUGCCGGAUAACAUAUCGAACCGCAUGGUUCGAUAGUGAAAGACGGUCUUGCUGUCACUUAUAGAUGGACCCGCGCCGUAUUAGCUAGUUGGUGAGGUAACGGCUCACCAAGGCAACGAUACGUAGCCGACCUGAGAGGGUGAUCGGCCACACUGGAACUGAGACACGGUCCAGACUCCUACGGGAGGCAGCAGUAGGGAAUCUUCCGCAAUGGGCGAAAGCCUGACGGAGCAACGCCGCGUGAGUGAUGAAGGUCUUCGGAUCGUAAAGCUCUGUUGUUAGGGAAGAACAAAUGUGUAAGUAACUGUGCACAUCUUGACGGUACCUAACCAGAAAGCCACGGGUAACUACGUGCCAGCAGCCG
rnacentral:rRNA from 1 species